AAGGAUGAAUUUGUCACCAAUAGCCCUCUACAUUUCCAUUAGUGCCAGAACGUAGAAUGGGUCCUGGUCUUUCUCUUACAUAACAUAACAUAACAUUCCAAGAUGCCAGGGACGUAAAAUGGGUCUUCCUGGACUUUCUCUUACAUAGUGCCAGGGACGUAGAAUGGGUCUUCCUGGACUUCCAUACCGUAUCAUCAUCAUAUCAUGACAUAACAUAUGAG
rnacentral:lncRNA from 1 species